rnacentral:lncRNA from 1 species
AUGGUCGAUCCCAAUGAGUUGACCUUUUUGAGGAUUCUGCAUAUCACAGUAGCGAUUAGAAAAAUAAAGCUCAAAUCCUAAAUCACAAAGUUAUCCAAUGGAGAGUAGAUUUAAGUAUAAAGAAUGAACUAUAUAGGCAUCUGAUAUGGUGAGAGAAGGUAUUGAAAUGUUACCAAUAUGACUCAUAUGCAUGCAUGAGCCAUUGAUAGUGGGAACAAUGGGUGG